rnacentral:rRNA from 1 species
UACGUAGGGGGCAAGCGUUGUCCGGAUUUAUUGGGCGUAAAGAGCGUGUAGGCGGCCUGGAAGGUCAGCUGUGAAAACUCGAGGCUCAACCUCGAGACGUCGGUUGAAACCACUUGGCUAGAGUCCGGAAGAGGAGUGUGGAAUUCCCGGUGUAGCGGUGAAAUGCGCAGAUAUCGGGAAGAACACCCGUGGCGAAGGCGGCUCUCUGGGACGGUACUGACGCUGAGACGCGAAAGCGUGGGGAGCGAACAGG